rnacentral:tRNA from 12 species
GGCCCGUUGGUCAAGCGGUUAAGACACCGCCCUUUCACGGCGGUAUCACGGGUUCGAAUCCCGUACGGGUCACCA